UCAAGCGAACAAGUGCAUGUGGUGGAUGCCUUGGCGAUCACAGGCGAUGAAGGACGCGGUAGCCUGCGAAAAGCUACGGGGAGCUGGCAAACGAGCUUUGAUCCGUAGAUGUCCGAAUGGGGAAACCCACUCCGAAUGGAGUAUCCAUGACUGAAUACAUAGGUCAUGUGAAGCGAACGCGGUGAACUGAAACAUCUAAGUAACCGCAGGAAAAGAAAUCAACCGAGAUUCCCAGAGUAGUGGCGAGCGAAAUGGGAUCAGCCUGUACUCUUUAUCUUCAUUGUUAGUCGAAGGCUCUGGAAAGUGCCGCCAUAGCAGGUGAUAGCCCUGUAGACGAAAACAGCGAGGAAGAACUAGGUGUACGACAAGUAGGGCGGGACACGUGAAAUCCUGUCUGAAGAUGGGGGGACCAUCCUCCAAGGCUAAAUACUCGUGAUCGACCGAUAGUGAACCAGUACCGUGAGGGAAAGGCGAAAAGAACCCCGGGAGGGGAGUGAAAUAGAUCCUGAAACCGCAUGCAUACAAACAGUAGGAGCCUCGCAAGGGGUGACUGCGUACCUUUUGUAUAAUGGGUCAGCGACUUACAUUCAGUGGCAAGCUUAACCGAUUAGGGCAGGCGUAGCGAAAGCGAGUCCGAACAGGGCGAUUCAGUCGCUGGGUGUAGACCCGAAACCAGGUGAUCUAUCCAUGGCCAGGAUGAAGGUGCGGUAACACGUACUGGAGGUCCGAACCCACUAACGUUGAAAAGUUAGGGGAUGAGCUGUGGAUAGGGGUGAAAGGCUAAACAAACCUGGAAAUAGCUGGUUCUCUCCGAAAACUAUUUAGGUAGUGCCUCGUGUAUCACCUUCGGGGUAGAGCACUGUCAUGGUUGUGGGGUCCAUUGCGGAUUACUACGCCAUAGCAAACUCCGAAUACCGAAGAGUGCAAUCACGGGAGACAGACAUCGGGUGCUAACGUCCGGUGUCAAGAGGGAAACAACCCAGACCGCCAGCUAAGGUCCCCAAAUAUUGCUAAGUGGGAAACGAAGUGGGAAGGCUAAAACAGUCAGGAGGUUGGCUUAGAAGCAGCCAUCCUUUAAAGAAAGCGUAAUAGCUCACUGAUCGAGUCGUCCUGCGCGGAAGAUGUAACGGGGCUAAGCAAUAUACCGAAGCUGCGGAUGCACAUUUAUGUGCAUGGUAGGAGAGCGUUCCGUAAGCCUGCGAAGGUGCACUGGAAAGUGUGCUGGAGGUAUCGGAAGUGCGAAUGCUGACAUGAGUAGCGAUAAAGGGGGUGAAAAGCCCCCUCGCCGUAAGCCCAAGGUUUCCUACGCAACGUUCAUCGGCGUAGGGUGAGUCGGCCCCUAAGGCGAGGCAGAAAUGCGUAGCUGAUGGGAAGCAGGUUAAUAUUCCUGCACCAUUGUUAAAUGCGAUGGGGGGACGGAUCGCGGAAGGUUGUCCGGGUGUUGGAAGUCCCGGUCCUUGCAUUGGAGAAGGCGCUUAGGCAAAUCCGGGCGCGGAAUUCAAGGGUGCGAGGCCAUUCACUUCGGUGAAGAAGCAAUCGGAAGUGGUUCCAAGAAAAGCCUCUAAGCUUCAGUUUAACAAGACCGUACCGCAAACCGACACAGGUGGGCGAGAUGAGUAUUCUAAGGCGCUUGAGAGAACUCGGGAGAAGGAACUCGGCAAAUUGGUACCGUAACUUCGGGAUAAGGUACGCCCCUGUAGCUUGACUGGCUCGCGCCAGAAGGGUGAAGGGGUUGCAAUAAACUGGUGGCUGCGACUGUUUAAUAAAAACACAGCACUCUGCAAACACGAAAGUGGACGUAUAGGGUGUGACGCCUGCCCGGUGCCGGAAGAUUAAAUGAUGGGGUGCAAGCUCUUGAUUGAAGUCCCGGUAAACGGCGGCCGUAACUAUAACGGUCCUAAGGUAGCGAAAUUCCUUGUCGGGUAAGUUCCGACCUGCACGAAUGGCGUAACGAUGGCCACACUGUCUCCUCCCGAGACUCAGCGAAGUUGAAGUGUUUGUGAUGAUGCAAUCUCCCCGCGGCUAGACGGAAAGACCCCAUGAACCUUUACUGUAGCUUUGCAUUGGACUUUGAACCGAUCUGUGUAGGAUAGGUGGGAGGCUAUGAAGCGUGGACGCCAGUCUGCGUGGAGCCGUCCUUGAAAUACCACCCUGGUUUGUUUGAGGUUCUAACCUUGGUCCGUAAUCCGGAUCGGGGACAGUGCAUGGUAGGCAGUUUGACUGGGGCGGUCUCCUCCCAAAGUGUAACGGAGGAGUACGAAGGUACGCUAGGUACGGUCGGAAAUCGUGCUGAUAGUGCAAUGGCAUAAGCGUGCUUAACUGCGAGACCGACAAGUCGAGCAGGUGCGAAAGCAGGUCAUAGUGAUCCGGUGGUUCUGUAUGGAAGGGCCAUCGCUCAACGGAUAAAAGGUACUCUGGGGAUAACAGGCUGAUACCGCCCAAGAGUUCAUAUCGACGGCGGUGUUUGGCACCUCGAUGUCGGCUCAUCUCAUCCUGGGGCUGUAGCCGGUCCCAAGGGUAUGGCUGUUCGCCAUUUAAAGAGGUACGUGAGCUGGGUUUAAAACGUCGUGAGACAGUUUGGUCCCUAUCUGCCGUGGGCGCUGGAUAUUUGAAGGGGGCUGCUCCUAGUACGAGAGGACCGGAGUGGACGAACCUCUGGUGUACCGGUUGUCACGCCAGUGGCAUCGCCGGGUAGCUAUGUUCGGAAGAGAUAACCGCUGAAAGCAUCUAAGCGGGAAACUCGCCUUAAGAUGAGAUAUCCCCGGGGCUUCGAGCCCCUUGAAGGGUCGUUCAAGACCAGGACGUUGAUAGGUCAGGUGUGGAAGCGCAGUAAUGCGUUAAGCUAACUGAUACUAAUUGCCCGUAAGGCUUGAUC
rnacentral:rRNA from 1 species